GUCAUUCGGAUACUUGUUCGGGU
rnacentral:snRNA from 1 species